GACGAACGCUGGCGGCGUGCCUAAUACAUGCAAGUCGAACGCAGUGGGGACGGGUGAGUAAAACGUGGGUAACCUCCCCAUCAGAGGGGAUAACACUUGGAAACAGGUGCUAAACCGAUACUGAUGGAUGGACCCGCGGUGCAUUAGCUAGUUGGUGAGGUAACGGCUCACCAAGGCCCCGAUGCAUAGCCGACCGGAGAGGGUGAUCAGCCACACUGGGACUGAGACACGGCCCAGACUCCUACGGGAGGCAGCAGUAGGGAAUCUUCGGCAAUGGCAGAAAGUCUGAGCGAGCAACGCCGCGUGAGUGAAGAAGGUUUUCGGUACGUAAAAUUCUGUUGGUAGAGAAGCGGUAUCUAACCAGUAAGCGACGGCUAACUACGUGCCAGCAGCCGCGGUAAUUC
rnacentral:rRNA from 1 species